rnacentral:rRNA from 1 species
CUCCGGUUGAUCCUGCCGGACCCGACUGCUAUCAGAGUGGGACUAAGCCAUGCGAGUCAACAUAGCAAUAUGUGGCAUACGGCUCAGUAACACGUAGUCAACAUGCCCAGGGGACGUGGAUAACCUCGGGAAACUGAGGAUAAACCGCGAUAAGUCACUACUUCUGGAAUGGGUAAUGACUCAAAUCUACAUGGCCCCUGGAUUGGACUGCGGCCGAUCAGGCUGUUGGUGAGGUAAUGGCCCACCAAACCUGUAACCGGUACGGGCUCUGAGAGGAGGAGCCCGGAGAUGGGCACUGAGACAAGGGCCCAGGCCCUAUGGGGCGCAGCAGGCGCGAAACCUCUGCAAUAGGCGAAAGCCUGACAGGGUUACUCUGAGUGAUUUCCGUUAAGGAGAUCUUUUGGCACCUCUAAAAAUGGUGCAGAAUAAGGGGUGGGCAAGUCUGGUGUCAGCCGCCACGGUAAUACCAGCACCCCGAGUGGUCGGGACGUUUAUUGGGCCUAAAGCAUCCGUAGCCGGUUCUACAAGUCUUCCGUUAAAUCCACCUGCUUAACAGAUGGGCUGCGGAAGAUACUAUAGAGCUAGGAGGCGGGAGAGGCAAGCGGUACUCGAUGGGUAGGGGUAAAAUCCGUUGAUCCAUUGAAGACCACCAGUGGCGAAGGCGGCUUGCCAGAACGCGCUCGACGGUGAGGGAUGAAAGCUGGGGGAGCAAACCGGAUUAGAUACCCGGGUAGUCCCAGCUGUAAACGAUGCAGACUCGGUGAUGAGUUGGCUUCUUGCCAACUCAGUGCCGCAGGGAAGCCGUUAAGUUUGCCGCCUGGGGAGUACGGUCGCAAGACUGAAACUUAAAGGAAUUGGCGGGGGAGCC